CCCAAACUGGGUGUUCACGAGGACGCAGAGGAAGACAGCCCCCGCUGCUGUCUCCAGCCAGAGCACGGGGAGAGGCGCGGCUCCAGGAAACAUUUCAAGGACCCUGGGAAAUGGGUGAUCUCUGAAUGUGAAAAAUCUUCAGGAGACUGGAAGUGUUUUGAAGUUGAAGGUUAUGGUUCUUUCUCAUUUUGUUUCAAAACAGGACCCCCAUUUCCCUUAAUGUAGGAUUGGAGGAGACAACAAGAAGAGGAAAGGGGUGUCAAGGUCAGAGCCGCCUAGAAGGCGACAAGAAGCAGAAGCGCAGGCCUGCGAGACGCUCUUCAGAGUGACUUCGCUGUGGGCUGCGGAUGGCAACAGAAGGAACUCGGCAUCCACCGGCCACAUUCCCCUCCCCGGAGCGGAGGACACAGCCCAGUUCCUUCAGGCAGUGGCUCCGGCCAGCUCCGCCCCACAGGGAAGGAGCGCGCAGCUGCCACACACCGCAGGCGGCGCUGACGGACUCGGCCUUCCCGGAGCGCAGGCGUCUGGGGGGCGCCGCCCUCGUCGCCGUCGGGAGCCCGGCAGGCCCGCGGCUUUCUGCCUGGUUCUCCCGCCUCUGCACGCCUCGCCUUCAGGACUCCGCCUCGCCUUCCUCUUUUCUGUGGGGAGACUCACGGGGCCGUCUGUCUGGACGAUGUGUGCACAUUUCUUACCACGAUUCCUCUGCACACCAGGUCCCGGCACAGCUGAAUUGUGCGGGCAGCGAAGGGGCCUCACGGGGACCGCUCAGCUCCCUGAGGGCGCAGCCCACCUGGUCCGGGGGCGAAGAAUGAACUUCCGCGGUUUUUAAUGACCCAGUUUGUGGCACGGCACAUGUUGAAAAGGCCUCCCUAUUCCCUGAGACACAAUUGUGGAAUUACACCAUUAAUAACCUACAACGGCCUCUAAGUGUUCAAGUGAAAGGAAGAGACACACAUCUCUCACUUUAAAUUGAAAGCUAGAGAUGAUUAAGCUUAGUGCGGAAGGCCUGUUCAAAGUUGAGACAGGCUGAAAGCAAGGCCUUUUGCACCCAGGAGUUAGCCCAGUUGUGAAUGCAAAGAAAAACCUCUUAAAGGAAAUUAAAAGUGCUGCUUCCGUGAACACGUGAAUGACCAGAAAGUGAAACAGCCUUAUUGCUGAUACGAAGAAAGUUUGAGUGGUCUGGAUACAAGAUAAAACCAGCCACAACAUUCCCUCAAGCCAAAGCCUACUCCAGAGUAAAGCCCCAACUCUCUCCAGUUCCACAAAGGCUAAGAGGAGUGAGAAAGCUACAGAAGAAAAGUUUCAAAGUGGCAGAGGUUGGCUCAUGAGUUUUAAGGAAAUAAACAUGUCCAUAACAUAAAAGUGCAAGAUGAAGCAACAAGUGCUGAUGGAGAAGCUGCAGCAAGUUAUCCAGAGACCUAGUGAAGGUGGCCUGCAAAACAACAAAAGAAGCUCAUCUGCUUCUUGCCCAGGACGAUGUUUCCAGCUUCAUCUUUGAUCUUAACCCUCCCGGAGAUGUACUUGGUUUCCUGACAGCCGCUGCAAUUCACAGUCUUUACGGUGCCAUCUGGGUACUCCCUCCUCUUCAACUGGGUCAUGUGGAUUUCUUUCUGCCCAUUGGUGAGCACAAUGGUUUUGUCGCCAUUCCCGGGAGAGGAGAAACACGUGGUAAGGUGGCCUGCACCAGGGCCGAUGCUGCCAGCGUGGAGGCCAGUGGGCGGUGGGGGAGCACAAAAUAAUGCCCCCACCCAGGUCUGGAGCCCUCCUUCCAAAUCUCGUUAGAUGAGGGUGCAGAAGGCCACGGGCAGGGGCAGGAAAGGUGCACGGGGGGCUCAGGGAAUUGACAGAAACUCAGUGUGGGUGAGAGAGGGCAGGUGGGGAGGGCCAGGAGGCAGGGCGGGAGGUCAGUCGCAUCUGCUCAGCUGCAGGCUGAAGCCUGUGCUGACAGCUGGCUCUGAUGGUGAGAGGGACAGCAGGGUUGACACAGGGAGUGACAGAGACACACGUUGAAUCAUUUCAGAAAAGAUUCUGACUGCCAUGAGGAAGCUAUGGGAGUCUAUUGUAAUUGCCCAGGAGAGAAAUGGUGAGGGGGGAGAUGGCAGAACUCAGAGAAAGGGUGGAGGUGAGGCAGCGAGGAGACACAGCCCACAGCGCUUGGUGUUCACUUUGAUAUCAGGAAAGAAAGGGAAGGUCUAAACUUCCCACGCUUUCCCUCAGGCAGCUGGGUGGAUCUUUACUUUCUGCACAAACCAGCAUUGAAAUUGCAGCUCUGAUGAUCUCUUCCUUGGUGUGCCUUAAAUAUUUGCUUGCAUGUGUUCUGCAGUAGACUCGGGCUUCUAGACCACGUGGUCUGAGGUGAGCACUGAAGACUGGAGUGGUUUUUACGGUUAUAAUUCAAAGGCAGCUAACGUCGGUGAAGUCAAUACCUGAAAGUCCAUUUGAAACCCACAGUCUCUAUAAAGGGAUUCAAACCAAGGCCAUAAGACAAAACUUCUGGAGUCAACGACAUUAUUUUCUAUUUUUUUAUACAAGCACUUAAAUGUUUGCAAAAAUCUAAAUUAAUAUAAGGAAAUUAUUAAAUACACAAACAAAAACUGGGGAUGUUUCGGGUUCGCAUUGUCUGACAUUACUGACCUUUCCACCCUUACGAUUGUCCCAUCAGGAAAUAAGGUCUCUUCCUGUCCAUCCUUGAGAUGUUUCACUGUCCCGUCGGGAAACACAAUUUCUUUGGAGCCAUCGGGGUAGAAUUUUUCUGCAGAAUGCAGGUUUUACGUUUUUCAGCUGGAUAAUAAAUUGUACGAAAGAGUCAUAAUUCACCCUCUACGGUAUCCUCCAGGGAUGAUAACAGUGAUUUUCACCUUGCACUGGAGACAGAACCCUUGACGCAGAGGAACUCGCUGUGGAGCCUGCUGAAAUACUGCUCCACUGUGCCUAUUUCAUUAUAGGAACAGGAAUGUGAUUACAGUGCCUGCAUGUGGGGUUUUCUUCGGUGAGAAUCAAGUUAUACCCUGGAUUAUCGGGACAAAAGUGUUACCACCCUGGAGACCUUGCCUGGAAACCCUCCAGACUCCUCAACGUCUGUGUUUUCCAUCUGUGACCCCUGGACACACAGAGACAUGUAGUGGGAACCAGGGGGUCACAGCGUCUUCACAGCUCCUCAGCAUCAAGUGGGCCCCCAGCUACUGUCAUCUGCAGCUUUUCUUCCACAAACCCCUCAUCGGCUUUUACCAGUGAAGAUCGUCAUGGUAGCAGCAGCUGUCAGCUGCUGAGUACUUGCUGUGUGCCGAGCAAUACAUGCAUGGUAUAACUUUGGUCCUUAUAAUAACCUACAGGGGGCUUUCCCAGCCUCAGAACUAUUGACAGUUUGAGCAGGAUAACUCUGUGGGGUUGGGGGGGGGCUGUCCUGGGCAUUGGGAUGUUUAACAACAUCCCCAGGCCCCACUAUCUAGAUGCCAGUAGCACCCACACCACCCCCAGUUGUGACAACCAAAUAUGUCUCCAGACAUUGCAAAUGUCCUCAAGGCAGGGAGAAUAAUUGUCCUCAAGGCAGGGAGAAUAAUUGCCCCCAGUUGAGAAGC